AGUCUUGUAUUCAAAAAUGAUUUUAAAUUGCAAAUUUAAAGGUGACGGAAAUGUCUAAGGCUU
rnacentral:tRNA from 2 species